CCUACGGGAGGCUGCAGUAGGGAAUUUUGCGCAAUGGGGGAAACCCUGACGCAGCAACCCCGCGUGAAUGAUGAGGUUUUUGGGGUGUUAAGCUCUUUUAUUAGGGGAGAAUUUUGACUGUAUCUAACAAUGAAGCACCGGCUAACUCCGUGCCAGCAGCCGCGGUAAUACGGGGGGUGCAAGCUUUCUCCGGAAUCAUUGGGCGUAAAGAGUGCGUAGGCGGGGGAAUAAGUCUGAUGUUAAAUCCUGUGGCUUAACGACAGAACUGCAUUUGAUACUAUUAAUCUAGAGUGUGGGAGAGGUAGGGGGAAUUCUUGGUGUAGGGGUAAAAUCCGUAGAGAUCAAGAGGAAUA
rnacentral:rRNA from 1 species